rnacentral:tRNA from 1 species
AGGACGUUAGCUCAGUUGGUAGAGCAGAAGACUUUUAAUCUUUUGGUCGCGAGUUCGAGUCUCGCACGUCCUACCA